rnacentral:rRNA from 1 species
AACGAACGCUGGCGGCAUGCCUAACACAUGCAAGUCGAACGAGACCUUCGGGUCUAGUGGCGCACGGGUGCGUAACGCGUGGGAACCUGCCCUUAGGUUCGGAAUAACUCAGAGAAAUUUGAGCUAAUACCGGAUAAUGUCUUCGGACCAAAGAUUUAUCGCCUUUGGAUGGGCCCGCGUAGGAUUAGCUUGUUGGUGGGGUAAUGGCCUACCAAGGCGACGAUCCUUAGCUGGUCUGAGAGGAUGAUCAGCCACACUGGGACUGAGACACGGCCCAGACUCCUACGGGAGGCAGCAGUGGGGAAUAUUGGACAAUGGGCGAAAGCCUGAUCCAGCAAUGCCGCGUGAGUGAUGAAGGCCUUAGGGUUGUAAAGCUCUUUUACCAGGGAUGAUAAUGACAGUACCUGAAGAAUAAGCGCCGGCUAACUCCGUG